rnacentral:rRNA from 1 species
UGAGGAAUAUUGGACAAUGGGCGCAAGCCUGAUCCAGCCAUGCCGCGUGCAGGAUGACGGUCCUAUGGAUUGUAAACUGCUUUUGCACAGGAAGAAACACUCCCUCGUGAGGGAGCUUGACGGUACUGUGAGAAUAAGGAUCGGCUAACUCCGUG